rnacentral:rRNA from 1 species
UACGUAGGGUGCGAGCGUUAAUCGGAAUUACUGGGCGUAGAGCGUGCGCAGGCGGCGCGUUAAGACAGGUGUGAAAGCCCCGAGCUUAACUUGGGAAUUGCGCUUGUGACUGGCGUGCUGGAGUGUGGCAGAGGGAGGUGGAAUUCCACGUGUAGCAGUGAAAUGCGUAGAGAUGUGGAGGAACACCGAUGGCGAAGGCAGCCCUCUGGGCUAACACUGACGCUCAGGCACGAAAGCGUGGGGAGCAAACAGG